AGUGAACGCUGGCGGUAGGCCUAACACAUGCAAGUCGAACGGCAGCACAGUAAGAGCUUGCUCUUACGGGUGGCGAGUGGCGGACGGGUGAGGAAUACAUCGGAAUCUACUUUUUCGUGGGGGAUAACGUAGGGAAACUUACGCUAAUACCGCAUACGACCUACGGGUGAAAGCAGGGGAUCUUCGGACCUUGCGCGAUUGAAUGAGCCGAUGUCGGAUUAGCUAGUUGGCGGGGUAAAGGCCCACCAAGGCGACGAUCCGUAGCUGGUCUGAGAGGAUGAACCGCCACACGGGAACGGGGAAAGGGUCCAAACCCCACGGGGGGGCAGAGGGGGGGAAUUUGGGAAAAGGGGCGAAAGCCUGAUCCCGCAAUACCGGGGGGGGAAAGAAGGCCUUGGGGUUUAAAAGCCCUUUUUUUGGGAAAAAAAAGCAGAAGGUUAAUCCCCCGCUGUUUGGAGGGGCCCAAAAAAAAAAGCACCGGCUAACUUCGU
rnacentral:rRNA from 1 species